rnacentral:rRNA from 1 species
UACGGAGGGUGCGAGCGUUGUCCGGAAUCACUGGGCGUAAAGGGCGCGUAGGCGGCUCGUUAAGGGUGCGGUGAAAGCCCGGGGCUUAACCCCGGGUCGGCCGUGCCGACUGAUGAGCUCGAGCACUGUAGAGGGCGGUGGAAUUCCGGGUGUAGUGGUGGAAUGCGUAGAGCUCCGGAGGAACACCAGUGGCGAAGGCGGCCGCCUGGGCCUUUUCUGACGCUGAGCCGCGAAAGCGUGGGGAGCGAGCCGG